rnacentral:lncRNA from 1 species
CUUGAUAUAGGUGCUGGGAAUUGAACCUAGGCCCUCUGUAAGAGCAGUAGGAGCACUUUACCUCUGAGCCAUCUCUUUAGCCCUAUAGUGUUCAUUUAGUUGGAAGAAAGAGAAAACCUAUUCAAAGCCAGAAAGGGAUUUAAUUGCUUGUGUGACCUGAAAGUUUCAGCAUGGCUUGACUCAGGGCUCAGGAGACUGUGUUUCCCUGGGUCUCAUGUACUGUCUGACAGUGUUUUCAUCUUUAGGACAGCUGGUUUCAGAGUGACUAGAGAGUAGCAUCUGCAGAUCACAUGAUUGUACAGCUCUGGGCCUGGAGAAAGAAAGCCUGAUAGAGAAGUUCUUGCCCUUUCUUGGAGUCAUAUGCCCUUUCCUUUCACAAUACCCCAUUGGCAGUGUGGGAGGAAUACCAUGAGUGAUCAAGUUUAUACUUGCCUGGAGGCUUGACAGAGGACAGGCAUUAUUAUUGAUAGUCCCACUAUGACCUUAGGGGAUGGCUGAGAGCCAUUUCCCAUCAGAAGGAAUAGUGCUGGCUAGGCAAAAUGAAUAAUCACCCUCAAUCAAUGUCAUCUAUGAAUAGAUCAACAAAAAUAGUGGUGAUUGAGUGAAAUGGAAAUGUUUUUUACCUAACCAAGACAGUACUAGUUAUAUUACCCUAGAGAAUCAUCUUGAAGUUACAAAAUAAAGCUAUGGAAAACCUACAGAAGCAAAAUUAGUAAUAGCAUGUCAAAAACUUACAAUGUGAGGCUAUCCUUUACCCCAUCUGUGUGAAGAUGGGAUGAGUUGGAUGUUCCCUUUCAUGCUAUUUUUUUCUGCUGUAUUUCCUCAGCAUUGGACAUUUCCUCUUACUUUCUUCAUGUCCUUGCACACAUUAUUCUCCCUCAUACAGUUGUGAGCCACCAUGUGGUUGCUGGGGAUUGAACUCAGGACCUCUGGAAGAGCAGUCAGUGCUCUUAACCACUGAGCCAUCUACCCAGUCCUCCCUUUUUAUUUUGAAACAGAAUCUCACGUAGUCCAGAUUGCCCUCAAUCUUGUUAUCUAGCCUGUAGUUCUAGCCACUUGACAAGCUGAGGCAGUUCAAGUCAUGCUGGGCAACUGGUGAGACGCUGUCAUAAAGUAAAGCACAUGAAAAAGGUGGAGAUGAAGCCAGGGUCCCGGUGUUGGCUACCAUGUGUGAAGCCCUAAGCCCAGUUUCUAGCACUGAUCUCCUCCUCCCCUGAAAAGAAUAAAAGAUACACUGUAGUCCUAGAACUGGGGAGGGAGAGGCCAGUGGAUCUUUGUGAGUUAGAAGUCAGCCUGAGUUAGAGAGCGAGUUCUCUAUCUCAAAAAAGGCAACAACAACAACAAAAAGAGAAGAAAAGAAAAAGAGGGGAAGAUACACUUUAGAUAAUUUAUAAUAUUCAAAGGAUGAAAGUUAAAUACCAUUAAGAUUACCACAGUCAACGUUUUUUGUGUGACGCUAAAAAUCAGAUAUAGGGCCUUGUAUAUGUUAGGCAUUCACUGAGUUAUACUCUUAUUGCAGUUAACAAUGAUUUUAAAACCAUUUUAAUAACUUCUUAAUGAUUUUCAAAAACAAUAUGUGUUAUAAUUUUUGUAUCAUAAAUACUUACAGAAAAACUUUAAUAUGUAUUUCAACAUCUGAAAGUACCAUGAUUUUUAUUCUGCAGGUCCAUUUCACUGUUUGAAGUAAGUUGCUACAAAGGGCAGCUUUAUCCAUAAAUCUUUGCUUGUGAGUCAGUUUUAGACAAUUUCAGAAUCCAAGUUUCCUUGGUGAGAAUUGGCAUUUAUAUAUGGGGUAGUGCAUUCACAUUCAUCUUUAAAAAUAGCACCUUGUAUGUAUAUUACCUCAAGAAUAGGGUAACUAGAUGUCCCACUUUUGGAAGAUGAUUUCAGUACCUAUAUUUUAUUUUGAGAAAUUCUCCUCAGUGAAAAAUAUGAACUUAUUUAAAAAACUUAACCUUCUGGAAACCUAAAGUACUUACUUUCUUUAAAAACAAAAACAGAAACAGAACCUCACUCUGUAGCCCUGACUGGCUUAAAACUUGCUAUUUUAAACCAGGCUGGCCUCAAACUCAAAGAGAUUCUCCCUGCCUCUGAACACUGGGAUUAAAGGUCCCAGCUUACUUUCUUUUUAGUGCC